UAAAAGUGGUGUACAAUCUAAGUG
rnacentral:siRNA from 1 species